UGCAGUUAUAAACACAUAAUGAGGGCUUAUUAUGUAUUUCUUGCAAUAAAAAAAGAAAAAUGCUACUAGUUUAUUAAAUAUUCAUGACUGCUAUUGCACGGCUCAUGUCCACACUUCUGUACAAUAGGGGGCAGUAAUGCACCAUAACGUUGGAUGCCAACUGCCUAUAAACCCCACUGAAGAAGAAAAAGCUACUCAUGUAAUGCAUGCUGGAAAGCAGACAAAAACUAAUGAUUUGCAAGAGAUCUAAACACGAUUUAUAAGCUACUGAACAACAAGUCCAAGAAAGCAUUGCUAACCGCGUUUGCACUUUGAACAGAUUUCUCGACAAUAAUAAUGGAAGAUGUGACUGGGGCUCAGCUCAUUGCAGAGGCACUAAAAGCUCAGUCCAGGUGCAUGUCUGGUUGUGUCUGGACCGGGACUCAUCCAUUCACUUGGUGGAAUGGCCAACGCUAACAUGAACUGCUGGCCUGUGAUUGUUAUUGGAGGCUCCUCUGAUCAAAACCAAGAGACCACUGGGGCGUUUCAAGAGUUUCCACAGGUGGAGGCAUGCAGAUUGUACAGUAAGUUCUCUGCUAGGUCUAGCAGUCUGGAUAUGAUCUCCUCAGUGGUAGAGAAGCUUAGCAAGGUACCUUAACUGCUUCAUAAGAGCACAGCACAGCCUUAAUUGAUCUGAAUGGAAGGGUGUUUGGUCUGUCUAAGGCAGCACGCACUAGCAUGUAUGGACGUCCAGGUGCUGUAUACGUAGACAUAUCUGGUGACAUGGUCAAUGCUAAAUUGGACAGGAGCAGAGCCAGAGAGGUGCCCUGUAGUCCACCUCCUCCUGUGAGUAUGGCUGACCAUAUGGCGAUCACAGAAGCACUGGCGGUCCUGAAAGGAGCCAAACGGCCUUUACUCAUCAUUGGCAAAGGUGCAGCCCAUUGAAGAGCAGAGGGGGCUCUGAAGGAGCUGGUGGAGGAG